GUGUUUCUUUGGAUGAAUGGUGUGGAAAUGUGGUGGUAAAUGGUCCAAUGAUGAUGAGUUAAGGUAUGGAUGGGAUAGAAGCUCAAAGCCUCUAGGAGAUAUGGUGGUGGUGGUGUAGUGUUUGGUGGCUCCAAGAGAGGUUAGGCCAACUCAAGGAGGAAGGUGACUAGAGGGGCCUCAUGGGUUGCUCUAGUCUUGAUCUAAGAUGAGU
rnacentral:lncRNA from 1 species